AAAUUCUCUUGUGAUAUAUUCAGGUAUACAUGUUUUGAGUCCUCUUUUAUUUUUUGUUUAUGCAAUUAUCUUCAUUUUUUAGAUGUUUAGUUGGUGCUUGUAAAGAGCAGUAUUAGGAAAUGAACUAAAAAGAAAGCAAGUGUGGAGUCUGAAGGGAGUUGAGGGGUUGAGGAAAGUUCAUAAACCCUUUUGAGAUUUUUUUAGAAAAAUUCCAGAUAUCACACUAUUAUUAUACAAAUAAAAUC
rnacentral:misc_RNA from 1 species